AAAAUAGUGUGAAAGAUAACAUGUAAACGUCUCAUAAAAAUUGAUUCAAAUAAGAGGUAACAAUUUAUCUGACAUGGCAAGAACAACCCCAAUAACCACAUACGCACUCCCCUAGAUGCUUCAUUGCUUCAAACAAUAACGAUUUACCUAGACAUGAAAGUGUUUUGCAAGUAUAAAUCCAUGAUAAUGUGAGCAAAAAGGAUCUGUUCAUUUUAAAAAGAAAACUUUCUAAGUUUCGAACCCCAAAUUGCACCCAUACAAAGUUCCCAACAAAUACAGNNNNNNNNNNNNNNNNNNNNAUGUAAACUUCUCAUAGAAGCUUAAAGUGAUCCGAAUCUCAUAUGAACAAAAAAAAAACUUGAAACAAAAUUAUGAAAGCACACCAAACUUUUUAAUAUUUAAAAAUAUCAUUUUGGUUGAAAAAUAAUUUUUCUGUGAUGUCUACAUCAAAACAAUUCUCAGAAAAAUUAACACCACUUAAGCAAAUAUACCAUGAGUACAUUUAAAAUAAUUGAAACAAGAAAAGAGAAAAAAAGGAGAAACAUAUAUAAUAACCCUUGAUCAGGCAUGAAAUGAUUUUAAACAUUUAAAUAGUAAAUAUAAUCAAAAGAUCCUUUACAAAAUAAGAUAUAGGAGGCUCAGAUUCAUCUUUUGUCAAUCACAAGAACAGACCAUAGGUCUUCCCUCUUCUUGCCCAAAUCCCAUCCUAAGAGAUAGACAUGACUGAAGUGGUUGCCAUGAAGGCCAUCCAAACUGCCUCGCCAUCAUCCUAUUAAGAUUGGAAAACCGAGCAUUGAAAGAGACCAUAAAGCCUUUAUGCUUCAUACAAAUGCAUAAGAAUCUGUGACUUGCCAACACCAUGGAGAAACAAUCUUGCGUUUAAAGGCCCAAAUGGUGAUUGGUCAAAUCCAUCAUUGACUUUUAUUUAUCAUCAUAGCCUCUUCGUAAUUGAAAAGCAAGAUACCGAGAAACAAAGAUGAAAACAAUACAGUGAAAUUUAUAAAAAUAAAUAAAUAAAUCAUCAAAGCUAUUAAAAGAUAAAAAGAAAAAAGGUUGGAAGAAAAGAAGCAAUCAUCUUGAAUGUAUUAUUUCUUUCCCCACACCAAAACAAGCUCCAUAUCCCCUAAAUACCUCAGUUAAAUUAGAAACCUAAUUGAGAAUAAAAAAACUAGAGAACUAUUUAUUUUUACGGCAGACAAUGAUCAUUUAUUAUUAUUUUACAUAAUCUAGCUUAAUCAAUGCUUAACCAGGGGCAACAAUGUCAUCAACACAAUUGCAACAGCUACUACCUGAACAAGAAUUUGCACAAACGGUACAAAGAAUCAUAUACAUUAUGGGGCAUAGGAUUUAAGCCCGGAAUAACAAACAAGUACAAGCAAUAGUACGACAACAAACAUAGGAAACAAUUUAUCUGACAUGGCAAGAACAGCCCCAAUAACCACAUACGCACUCCCCUAGAUGCUUCAUUGCUUCAAACAAUAACGAUUUACCUAGACAUAAAAGUGUUUUGCAAGCAUAAAUCCAUGACAAUGUGAGCAAAAAGGUUCUGUUCAUUUUAAAAAGAAAACCUUCUAAGUUUGGAACCCCAAAUUGUACUCAUACAAAGUUCCCAACAAAUACAAUUUGCUGUAGCAAAACUCAAAGACUUUAUUUAACAAGACCAAUUAUCACAUUGCCAUAUUUUUUUUCCUCAAUUGAUUUUUAACAUCUGAUAAUAAUUCUUAAAAGUACCAAAAUUAACAUAAUGUUGAAGAUAACAUGUAAACUUCUCAUAGAAGCUUAAAGUGAUCCGAAUCUCAGAUGAACAAAAAAAAAACUUGAAACAAAAUUAUGAAAGCACACCAAACUUUUUAAUAUUUAAAAAUAUCAUUUUGGUUGAAAAAUAAUUUUUCUGUGAUGUCUACAUCAAAACAAUUCUCAGAAAAAUUAACACCACUUAAGCAAAUAUACCAUGAGUACAUUUAAAAUAAUUGAAACAAGAAAAGAGAAAAAAGGAGAAACAUAUAUAAUAACCCUUGAUCAGGCAUGAAAUGAUUUUAAACAUUUAAAUAGUAAAUAUAAUUAAAAGAUCCUGUACAAAAAAAGAUAUAAGAGGCUCAUAUUCAUCUUUUGUCAAUCACAAGAACAGACCAUAGGUCUUCCCUCUUUUUGCCCAAAUCCCAUCCUAAGAGAUAGACAUGGCUGCAGUGGUUGCCAUGAAGGCCAUCCAAACUGCCUCGCCAUCAUCAUAUUAAGAUUGGAAAACCGAGCAUUGAAAGAGACCAUAAAGCCUUUAUGCUUCAUACAAAUGCAUAAGAAUCUGUGACUUGCCAACACCAUCGAGAAACAAUCUUGCGUUUAAAGGCCCAAAUGGUGAUUGGUCAAAUCCAUCAUUGACUUUUAUUUAUCAUCAUAGCCUCUUCGUAAUUGAAAAGCAAGAUACCGAGAAACAAAGAUGAAAACAAUACAGUGAAAUUUAUAAAAAUAAAUAAAUAAAUCAUCAAAGCUAUUAAAGGAUAAAAAGAAAAAGGUUGGAAGAAAAGAAGCAAUCAUCUUGAAUGUAUUAUUUCUUUCCCCACACCAAAAGAAGCUCCAUAUCCCCUAAAUACCUCAGUUAAAUUAGAAACCUAAAUGAGAAUAAAAAACUAGAGAACUAUUUGUUGUUUGCGGCAAACAAUGAUCAUUUAUGAUUAUUUUACAUCAUCUAGUUAAUAAAUGCUUAACCAAUGCAGGGGCAAC
rnacentral:lncRNA from 1 species